rnacentral:rRNA from 1 species
GUCCACGCCGUAAACGAUGGGUGCUAGCCGUCGGGCAGCAUGCUGUUCGGUGGUGCAGCUAACGCAUUAAGCACCCCGCCUGGGGAGUACGGCCGCAAGGUUAAAACUCAAAGGAAUUGACGGGGGCCCGCACAAGCGGUGGAGCAUGUGGUUUAAUUCGAGGCAACGCGAAGAACCUUACCAGCCCUUGACAUCCUGGUCGCGGAUUCGAGAGAUCGAUUCCUUCAGUUCGGCUGGACCAGU